AUGCUUGCUUCAGCAGCACAUAUACUAAAAUUGGAAUUGAUACAGAGAAAAUUAUUAGCAUGGUCCCUGUGCAAGUAUGACACGCAAAUUCAUGAAGGGUUCCAUAUUUUU
rnacentral:snRNA from 1 species